rnacentral:rRNA from 1 species
UACGGGGGGAGCAAGCGUUGUUCGGAUUUACUGGGCGUAAAGGGCGCGUAGGCGGCCUGUUAAGUCGGACGUGAAAUCCCUCGGCUCAACCGGGGAACUGCGUCCGAUACUGGCGGGCUGGAGUUCGGUAGGGGAGACUGGAAUUCCUGGUGUAGCGGUGAAAUGCGUAGAGAUCGGAAGGAACACCAGUGGCGAAGGCGGCUACCUGGCCUAAUACUGACACUGAGGCACGAAAGCGUGGGGAGCAAACAGG